CAGUAGCCGCGGGAAUACGUAGGGUGCGAGCGUUAAUCGGAAUUACUGGGCGUAAAGCGUGCGCAGGCGGUUGUAUAAGACAGAUGUGAAAUCCCCGGGCUCAACCUGGGACCUGCAUUUGUGACUGUAUAGCUAGAGUACGGUAGAGGGGGAUGGAAUUCCGCGUGUAGCAGUGAAAUGCGUAGAUAUGCGGAGGAACACCGAUGGCGAAGGCAAUCCCCUGGACCUGUACUGACGCUCAUGCACGAAAGCGUGGGGAGCAAACAGGAUUAGAUACCCCCGUAGUCCCUGUCUCUUAUAC
rnacentral:rRNA from 1 species